UUGACCUCAAAUCAGGUAGGACUACCCGCUGAACUUAAGCAUAUCAAUAAGCGGAGGAAAAGAAACUAACAAGGAUUCCCCUAGUAACUGCGAGUGAAGCGGGAAAAGCUCAAAUUUAAAAUCUGGUAGUCUUCGGCUGCCCGAGUUGUAAUCUAGAGAAGCAUUAUCUGCGCUGGACCGUGUACAAGUGUCCUGGAAUGGACCAUCAUAGAGGGUG
rnacentral:rRNA from 1 species